GUCUAUGGCCAUACCACCCUGAACACACCCGAUCUCAUCUGAUCUUAGAAGCUAAGCAGGGUAGGGCCUGGUUAGUACUUGGAUGGGAUAAGAUAAACAAACAAUUGUGUUGCCUUUCAUU
ensembl:rRNA 5S_rRNA 5S ribosomal RNA